rnacentral:rRNA from 1 species
GGCGGCAGGCCUAACACAUGCAAGUCGAGCGGUAGAGAGAAGCUUGCUUCUCUUGAGAGCGGCGGACGGGUGAGUAAUGCCUAGGAAUCUGCCUGGUAGUGGGGGAUAACGCUCGGAAACGGACGCUAAUACCGCAUACGUCCUACGGGAGAAAGCAGGGGACCUUCGGGCCUUGCGCUAUCAGAUGAGCCUAGGUCGGAUUAGCUAGUUGGUGAGGUAAUGGCUCACCAAGGCGACGAUCCGUAACUGGUCUGAGAGGAUGAUCAGUCACACUGGAACUGAGACACGGUCCAGACUCCUACGGGAGGCAGCAGUGGGGAAUAUUGGACAAUGGGCGAAAGCCUGAUCCAGCCAUGCCGCGUGUGUGAAGAAGGUCUUCGGAUUGUAAAGCACUUUAAGUUGGGAGGAAGGGCAUUAACCUAAUACGUUGGUGUCUUGACGUUACCGACAGAAUAAGCACCGGCUAACUCUGUGCCAGCAGCCGCGGUAAUACAGAGGGUGCAAGCGU